AUACGGAGGGAGCAAGCGUUAUUCGGAAUCACUGGGCGUAAAGGACGCGUAGGCGGGUUGGCAAGUCAGAUGUGAAAUCCUACAGCUUAACUGUAGAACUGCAUUUGAAACUGCUAACCUAGAGUAUGGGAGGGGGAGAUGGAAUUAGUGGUGUAGGGGUAAAAUCCGUAGAUAUCACUAGGAAUACCGAAAGCGAAGGCGAUCUCCUGGAACAUAACUGACGCUAAGGCGUGAAAGCGUGGGGAGCAAACAGGAUUAGAAACCCCAGUAGUCC
rnacentral:rRNA from 1 species